GCUGAAUUGGUACAAUGAGUGCUGGUCUGCGGUGUGAGACCAGGGGUCUGGGACUGUUCAUUGUUGGAGGAAAGAUAUGAAGGUUCCUCUCCACUAGCUGUGCCUUGGCCAAAAUAACUGAAUAGGUGCUGAGUUCAAAUACGUACAGCUGCUAUCAAAUCUCAAGACAGAGGCCCCACUCGAACUUUAUUACCUUCCUGCCUUCAUCUAUCAUACUCUCGGGAGAAUAUCGGUCCAAGUCUAAGACUAGGUGUGCAAAUUCCAUUUCGUUCAAAUACUGUAGGUGUUCUAUGAGGUUACUCUAUAUUGAAGGCAAUCAGGAACUGUUCCCAAGUAACUGGAACGGGCAACGUGACCUGUUUGAGCUACCACCAGCUACCUGCCUCUCCUACGAGCAUGUAGGUGGCACAUACAACUUUCUGUUCAGGAACCAUUCCAAGAAUUGUGCAGACCUUCUCUGUCUCAGUUAACCAAUACUCAACUUCUUCAAAAGAUGAUGUCCCUACAAAGAUAUAUAGGUUUAGUCUUUUAUACCUUUUAAUGUAACUUGAGUCCAUCAUAGGUGGAACUGAGUUCCAUGAAAGAGGGAUUGAAUUGUGUUAGGGAGGGGUUGGGUGGCCCUGUGGCGGUACCUGGUUGUAUGGUGGGGGGUACCAAAUUGUACUGCGGCAGUGCUGGAUGAUAUGGUGGAGGAGCAAGGUUGUACCAAGGUGGCACCUGAUAUUCUCACUACAAGGGCAGCUCAAACUGUAGCAGCGGUGGAGGCUUAGACAACUCCCUCCACUCUUCCCGGGCCUGUUAGGCAGAGAUGAGUCUCUGCAAUAUCUCAAAGAAUCAAUCGACAUACUCUCAAAGUGACCCAUCCCGGGUUGCUCGGUUUAGUGAGAGUCUUUCUUUUCUCAUAUCCCUGUACCUGUAUUUCACAAGAAAUGGUUGAGCGACAUUUCAUAUUUAGUAUUUUUAAGUCUUUGGUAAGAAAUGAUUCUGAGUAACACGGCUUUGAUACCAACUGUAAAGACCCGAAACUCAAAAUAGAUAAAUUUAUAUUUUAAAUGCGAAAAUAAAUAAUAAUAUUAGGGUUUACAUUCCUUACACAAUAAAUUAAAAUACCCAAUAGGGUUACGAGAAUAUUCCUACUACAAUGGAUCGUAAAGAAAAACAAAUAAAUAAUUUAAAACAAUUAGAUAGAUGUCCUAGGGAUUAACCUCCACUAGCGCUUGAAGAGGUCCAGGAGGUAAACUACUCACAAUCUUCUUACUGAUUGGAUCUGNNNNNNNNNNNNNNNNNNNNNNNNNNNNNNGUGCAUACCAAUACCUCAUUUCAUAUUCACAUAUUAAUUAAACGAUAUUUAUGCAAAUAAUAUAAUUUUAUACCUUAAUAACCAAGAAAUGUACUCAGGACCUUUAUUUUGAAUCAGUCAAUCAGAUCAAGAAAUAAUGAUUAGGCACUCAAUAAAUGAGAAAAUAAUUAAAAGCAAUAAUUAAGGCACAUGGAGGAAUAAUAAUCAAUUUAGACAACAUAGGAAAAUGAAUAGGCAACAUAGACAAACUAGGACAAAUAUAACCUAACUGGUUCUAGCUCCACUAGUGACCUGUAACUAUUUUUAGGAUUUUUUUAAUUUUUUACAUAGCACAAUAUUAUUGAUUAUUAAGCCUCAAUUUACCGUAACAUGGAAUAGGGUGAGGGAUUCUUACCUGGAUCAAUAUUUUAAAAUGUCAUACUAUUUACUACGUCUCCUAACGGGUCCCGAAUUUUCUGAAUUUUUUCUGCAGAAAUUAAAAUACUCGUCAUGUACCUAAAAAAUACCCUCAAAAAUCGGUGUUGAAAACUCUUUCUGGCUAAUUUUAGAAUCCCGGCACGACACCACCACCAUGUUACGGCAUCGGCUCUGCCAUCCACGAUGGUAGUUCACCUCACUCUAGCCAGUUUUGGCUGGUUUUACAUGUAUCGUUACGAAAAAAUAUAUUACGAGGCCUCGGUUGGCCAGAAAAUCAAAAAAACUAAACCUACUGGCUGGGAAUAUAUAGGGGGGGGGGAGGGGGGGGAGAGGGGGAGGGUCUCUAGGUGUGGCGGCUUUACCGAUUCUCAUUUACGACUGGAGUUUUUUCUUCGGCUAAUCUGCACGGAAAAGGACGGGGAACACAAUGGUCAAAAAAUUGUGUGAAAUAGAAAAUAAGAAGGGGGUCAUCGGAGAGGGUUUAGGGUUUUAGCUGCGACGGCUCCAUCAGGUUUUGCAUGUGAUUUUCACCUCACCCACUAUCCCUUUUACUCUGAUAUGACUAUAGGGAGGCUCAGAAUUGAAUUCUAAGUGAGGAAAAUUUUUUUUACCUUUUUUAACUGUCGACGGUGGCUCCGAUGCGGCGGCAGCCGGAGAUUGGCCUCUUUCUCCAAUGUAUGGUUCUUCUUCUCCGACAAGGGUUGAGCUGCUAGGGUUAAGUUCUCCUGCAAUGCAAUGUUUGAAUACCUAUCCCGUGUCCAUCUACACCGUCCGUUUGUGGACACAUAGAGCGGGAGGACUAUUCGAUGAUUUUUCGUUAGGUUUAUUGCGUAGAUGAAUCUAGACCGUCCAUCGUGAUCAAUUUUGUUCUUCCGAUAUCAUUUAAAGAGGGAAUGUAUUUGAAUCGAUCGCAUGCACGGAAUGCGAUCUGGGCCAUCGGAUCGUCUAAGCAGGGGGAUUGCCCACGUGGCCUCUCGCAUUGAGCCGAUGUCAGCCUGCUUGUCACGUAGCGUGCUCUGAUUCGUUCGGAUUGCUGAUUGGGCUAUCCCACGUGGAUAAACUUUUUUUUUUAAUGAUUUAGCCCCAUGUUUUUAAAUUUUCUUUCAAAAACAUCCAUUAAAUUCAAAUUUUCGCCUUUUUAAAAAAAUUAUUUUUAAUUUUGUCUCUAAUCUAUUUUUUUCUCAAAAUUUAACAAAAAUUAGAUUGAAAUAAAAUUAUAUUAAUUAUUUAUAUAAUUUUUAUAAAUAAAAAAGAUUAUUUCAGACCGAUUUUCAGAAUCGAGCAUUAUAAAUUUAUUUUCUUUAUUGACUAAAAUAAAACUAGAAGCUUUUUGAAAACACCAUCAAGGAGACAAUAACAUACCAACCAUAUACUAUGAUUUUAAGGAAUCUAAAUGCUUUUUGAAAAUAAAAUUGAAUAAACGCAUAAUUAAUUAUUUCAUUUUCUUUUGCUAAUUAGUUCUAAUUAAAAUCAAUGACUUAAAAAUAUUUAAUAAUACAAAAAUUUCUUAAAGCCUAUAACCGAUGUCUAUGGAAUUAAUCUAAACAUUUCUCAUUAAUGGUUUGAGCAAGAUAUUUAUUGUUAAUAUUAAUUCUACAUAUUUAUUAAACCGAAAAAAAAUUGAAACUUCUUUUACUUCUUAUACUUUCCUAGAAAAAACGACCUAAUUAUGUGUAUAAAAGAGGACGAAGUUACGAGGAUUAACAUAUAGAAAACAUAUAUAUUCUCCUUUGUUUUUUCUUUCUAAAUAAUCUUUUUAUUCGGAACGUUAAAAAGUGAUGAUGUGGGAUUUGAUUCUUGUUUUAGUAACUUUGAUAUGGAUUACUCAUAGUCAAUAUAUACCGGAGUUUAAUGUUAUCGUAGCACAAGAUGGAACAGGAAACUUUACAAAAAUUAGCGAUGCAAUCUUAUCUGCUCCUAGUAAUUGUUCAGAGCGAUACUAUAUUAAAGUGAAGAAAGGAAAUUACGCAGAGACUGUUAUCGUCGGAAAAAAGAAGACUAAUAUAGUUUUAGUCGGAGAUGGAAUGGAUAAUACAAUAAUUUCUGGAAGCAAAAGCACGGAAUUGGGUAUAUCGACUUUACAUACUGCUACAGUAGGUAUGGUAUCUAUAUAAUGUUAAUAUUGAUUUAUAGAUGUAUUCGGCAUAAUCAUCUCAAUAUAUGUUCUACGUACAUACACACACACACACACACACACAGUAUUUGCAAAACAAAGAUGUUGUUACGUAAUUUACAAGCAUAAUUUUCAUUUUAAUUAAGAUAGAAACAAAGAUGAUGUUUGUCCUCUUUCAAUAUAUGAUUCAGGAAUUAAGGGCAGUGGCUUCAUUGCAAUUAAUAUAACAUUCGAGAACACGGCUGGUCCAAACAAACACCAAGCGGUAGCCCUACAAAGUGAAGUAGAUUCUAUAUUCUACAAGUGUAAAUUUCUUGGAUAUCAAGACACACUUUACGUCAGAAAGGGCAAACAAUUUUACAGAGAAUGUGAUAUUUAUGGUACAGUGGAUAUUAUAUUUGGAAAUGCAGCCGCAGUGUUACAAAAUUGCAAUAUCUACGCUCGCCUUCCACGUGAAGAACAAAGUAAUACAAUAACAGCACAGGGAAGACUUGCAGUCGAUGAGGAUGGAGGGAUAAUCAUUCACAACUGCACUAUAAAGGCAUCUCAAGAACUCAUAAAAAGCAAGAGAUCAGUUAAGACAUUCUUAGGACGCCCAUGGAAGAAUUUCUCACGAACGGUAAUAAUGCAGAGUUUCAUUGACGAUAUCGUUGAAUCUGAGGGAUGGCUAGAUUGGCCAGGUGUACGAACAGAUACUAUCUACUAUGCCGAAUAUGCUAAUAAAGGGGCAGGAGCUAUAACUACAGGAAGAGUAAAGUGGACUGGAUAUCGAACACUAAAUAGGUCAGAAGCUUCUGAAUUUACAGUAAGAAACUUCAUUUCUGGGGACAAAUGGAUACCAUCAUCAGGAAUACCAUUCUCUCCUGAUUUGAUAUAACUUAAUUUAUUUAAACAAUGAUUAACUAUUUCAAAUAAUUCAUUAGUUAAUUUACAGAAAGAUGUAUUCUUAUACUUCUUUAUAUUGCAUUAGUAAUGGAUAUGUAUUUAUUUUUAAGUGGCUUACUAAUAUUUAUAUACCAAAAAUACCUAAGAAAGAAAUAAACAAACAAUUAACAUAAAUAACAAAUAAUAAUUAGUUAAAAUUAAGAACGAUAAAGCUAUUGCAACAGUGUGAUAUGGAGCUACUCACAAUUUUAUUGAUUUUAAAAUUCAAAAUUAUAUUACAUUAUAUCAUGAGCUCAUAAGAAUAAUUGAAGUACAAACUUAAUGUAAACUUAUAUCAAAUCAAGAAAGCAUGGAAUUCCCAUUGAUGAUAUCCAUUUCUCCCCUGAUAUGAAAUUUCUUACUGUAAAUUUUUCUGCUUCAGUACGAUUUAUUAUAUGAUAUCCACCCCAUUUAACUCUAUUUGUAGUUAUAGCUCCUGGUCCUCUAUUAUCAUAUUCAGCGUAAUAUAUGGUGUCCCAGACUUGCAUGCCACUCUAGCCAACCUUUUGGAUCAAUCACAUCAUCAAUAAAACUCUGCAUUAUGACUGUUCUUGAAAAGUUUUUCCAAGGUCGUCCCAAGAAUACCUUGGUUAACUUCUGGUUUUGAUGAAGGUUUUCAGCUUUUGUUAUAGUACAGUUAUGGAUUACUAUACCUCCAGUGUUGUUCUUAUCUUUUCUUCCUUGCGCUGUUAUUGUAUCAUAUUGACCUAAAAGUGGACGACGUACGUAGAUAAAACUAUUUUGUAUAACUGCAGCUGCAAAUCCAAAGAUGAAGUCUAUAGUGCCAUAUAUUUCGCACUCUCUGUAAAAUUGUACUCCUUCAUGAGCCAAAAGUGUAUCUUGAUAUCCAACAAAUUUACAUCUAUAGAAGAUAGAGUCCACGACACUUAACAAUGCUAUUGCUUGAUUUGCUGCCGGACCGGCUGUAUUUUCGAACGUUAUAUUAAUUGCAAUAAAGCCAGCUCCAUAAAUUCCUACAUAAACAUGUGUGUAUAUGUAUAUAUAUAUAAAGCACAAGUUAAUGCUUAAUAAUUAAUACAUCAAAAAAGAGAUUAUCCAAAUUUUAUUCAUAUACCAUACCCACUGUAGCUGUGUCCAUAGUUGCGAGGCCCAUUUUCGUGCUCUUAUUUCCCGAUAUUAUCGUCUUAUCUAUUCCAUCUCCUAUUAAAGUUAUGUUUGAUUUCUUCUGUCGUAUAAUAAUAUUCUCGAGAUACCGACCUUCUUUUAUUUUGAUAUUGUAGCGUUCAAUAUUCGAGUCCGGAGCAGCUAAGAUUGCAUCGCUAAUUUUUGUAUACUUGCCCGUUCCAUCUUGUGCUACGACAACAUCGAUGUUCAGCUUAAGUUGACCACGAACACUACCGGAUAAUAAUCCAGUAAUUACUACGGCAACGAGUAAAUUCCACAUGGUAAUAUUAGGGUUUCCUCUUUGAUUAUAUCUUUUAUCAUACAGUGUAUGCAUAAGAAAAUGACUGUAGAUAUAUAUAAGCACACGCCAUGUAUAGAUCAAGAGCAUAGAAAACCUACAGGAUCAUUUAUCUGCAAUGCCUCAGCUCAAAGAUUUUAAGUCUUAUUAUAUAUAUAUAGAUACACACACACAUAUGUGUGUGUGUGUAUAGCUUAUCCUUAUAAUUUUUAUUUCACGUUAUCCUCACAAAUUAUUUAUAUCCAUAUAAGUUGAUAUUCUAUAACGUCUGUAUUCAACUUCUGUUCAUGUAUCGUUACUGUUAUUAUUCAAACAAAAUUUUUUGUUUCAAGAAAUAUUUUAGUUUAUAAUUAAAUAUAUAGAAAUAAAAAUAUUCUAGCGAUUAUCUAAUUUUAUAUUACUUAUGAUAUAAAAUCUGAUAAUUAAUCCAAAUCUUAUUUAAUUCCCUGCGUAUAAUUGAUUUUGUAUAAUUAUUUACCUUAACGAAAUGGGCUUUUUUUUAUGGGCCCAAAUAUAAAUUAUAUCAUUUUUAAAAUCUUUUUGUGCAAAGAAUAAUAUCAAAAAUUUUCCAAAUUUGGUAAUUUUGGUAUACAAUAUUAUUUUCGUAUUAAUUUUAAAUUUAGUAUGUUCUAAUACCAAAUCCCAAUUGAUUUAAAAGAAGAAUUACUCAAAAUAAAAUAUUCAAUAAAUAUUUAUAAUAUUUUAAUAUCUUAAUUUUGGUAACAUUUAUAUAAAUAUCAAAUGUGCCCAAAUUUUCAACAAAUUCGAACCUGGCAAUGUUACUACUUACCACCCAUAUGAGAUUCGUAUCAAAAAUGACAUAUGCAUAUGUAUAAUAUAUAUAUGUAUUUUAACUAUUUUUUGUAAUAUUCAGUUCCAAAAUUUGAUCGAGAAUUAAUUUUAAUUUUAAAAUUAAUAUAUAAAAAUAUAAAUUUUAAUUUUAUAAAUUUUUAUUUAAUAUAAAAUUAAGAAAAAAAUAGAUAGAGAAUAAAAUUGAAAACAAUUUAAAAAAAAUGCUAAAAAUUUAGUUUCGAAUGUAUUUUUAAAAGAAAAAUAAAAAAUUAGAGGUCAAAAUACAAUUUAGAAAAAAUGUGUCACGUAUGACCGCUCAAUCAGUAAUUCCGACGAACCGGAGCACACCGCGUGACAGGGCACGCUGAUUCGGUGCCAUGCAGGAGGUCACGCUGGCAAUCUGCAUGUCCGCGAUUGGAUGGUCCGGAUGUAUUCCCGCGCGUGUGGACAGUCCGGAUUUGUUCCCUCCUCAGGCACAAUCAGACGAUCACGAUUAAACGCGAUGAACGGUCCAGAUUCGUUUUUUUUUUAAAUGCAAUUAUACGAUCCAUAUCAAACGCGAUAAAUGACCCAGAUUUAAGAGAGAAUUGUAUAAAUAUCUCAUUUUACACCGAACUCUAACUCUAGCCGUCAACCUCCCGCUGGAGAAGAAGAAGCAGACACCAAUGAAAGGAGUCGAUCGUCGCCUGCCGUCAAGUCGAAGCCACCUCCGAUAGCCAAAAAAGAUAAAAAUUCUCUCAUUCCCUCAUAAUUUGAUUUUGAACACUCCUAUGGCCAAAUUGAAGCAAAAGAACUGGCGAAUGAGCAGAAAAUCGCGAGUAAAGUCUAGCACCGCAGCCACAUAAAAAAUCAAAAAUUGCCUCCGAUGAGCCCCUUCCUGAUUUCUGUUUCAUGCAAUUUUUUCACCAUUGUAUUCACCAUUCUAUUUUCUAUAGAUUAACUGAAGAAAAAUGGCCAACCGCGAAUGUAAGUUGGCAGAGCCGCCGCACCAGAAAAUUUUAUCGCCAAUAAUUUUUUAUUUUUCGACUUUUUUCGGCCAACCGAGAUCCUUUAACUUGUUUACUCGCAUAGAUGAGUAUAAACCAGCUAAAAUAUGCCAAAAUUGACCGAAAACAGCCAGUCCAAGGCAAACCACCCCCGUGGUGGCAGUGUCGCCGUGCUAGAAUUCUAAAAUUGACCGAAAAAGAUUUUAACACCGAUUUUAGAUUUUUUGAGAUAUUUCUAGGUACGUGAAGUGUGUUUUAAUCUCCACAGAAAAAUUUAGGAAACCUAUGGACCAUCAGUAGUGCAGUAAAAAAUUCAGUAUUUCGGACACCGAUUCGGGUAAAAAUCUCUCACCUUAUUCCCUAUUAUGGAAUUGAAAUUCAAUUAUAAAUAAUACGGUAUUUUGUGUAAUUUAAAAUUUUUCAAUAAUUAAUUACAUGUUACUAAUGAAGGCAGAACCGGUUAUUUAUUACUAUUUGUCAUGUUUUAACGGAUUGUUUGAUUUUACAGUUUUAAAAACAUGAUAAUACACUGAAAUUGGUAAAAUGAUUCAGUUGUGUUCCUUAAUGCAUAUAUUACUUGUCUUGCGUGAUUUACAGUUAAAUUGUGAAACUGAAAAUUAAAUGUAACGACCUUGAAAAUCUAAAAAGAAAUAUAUAAUAGUUUUAGUGCAAAAGCGAAAUAAAAUGUUAAGAUUUACAUCCCUUACACAAUAACUUAAAGUACUAAACAAACAUUAUGGAACGAAUUCUCUGAAAAAAAAUACGAAAAAUACGAAAAGUAAUGAAAAAUAGAAAGUAUCUAACAUCUACUCGCAAUCUUCCUACGGAUCGGACUCUGGAACCAGGUCAUCUUGAUCUGAAAUGGUUAAAUAAGGGAUGAUCUAUAUUAGCCCAGUAAGGAUAUCACACUAUAUCACCAGCACAGAAGUAAAGUUUAGUAGAAAAUCAAAACAACUAAUAGAGUACUAAAUUUAGCAAAUUCGUUUAUCAAUCAUAAAAUCAUUUACCGUUCACUUACCAUUGUGGAAUUUAUGAAAACAACCUAUAGAUGCAAUAAUAUUAUAAAGAUCAUAACUACAUGCACAAUCAGCAACAUAUAAUAUAUCAUAAAUUUAUAUUCAUUAACAAUAAACUAAAUCAUAACCGGUUCUCGUUUUACCAGUCUACUAGUAUUCAUAGGGGUUCAUAGGGGUGUCCCCAGUACACGUGAACCCUUUUCCUUAACAAUCUCAAUUACAGGGUCGUCCCCAUACCUCGUCUGGUAUGAGCCCCAAGACAUUAAACCUCAAUACCCCGUCCGGUAUGAGUGUGAAGCGGACUGUCCCCAUACUUUGUCCGAUAUGAACGUCAAAUUACCAAGUCUCCAUACCCUAUCUGGUAUGAGACAACGUUCACGGUAGGGUUCCCUAUAAACUCAGUCCGUCCACCAUCUCUCAGGAUAUCUAGUGAAGUUAUCAUCCUAUAUGUUUAUUUGAUCACACCCCUUUCUUGUUUUUCCUUAGUCUCCGUUACCAAAUCAAACAUAAUCACAUAAACAAAUAAACAUGCAUCCGGUAAUACAAUCAUGUCUUAAAUUCUAAAAUCAAACAGUUGUCAGAUAAAACAGUAAUACACGCAUUUAAACUACAAAAUAGAUAAAUCAGAUAUCAUCAUACUUCUAGAUUGUAAAAUAAAUCAACAGAGAAAAUGUCUGGUUCGAGCUUCAUUAGCAAUCCGUAAUUAAUUAUGCACAUCUAUUUAAUUUGUACAAAAUACCGUAUUAUUAUUUAUUCAAACUUCAAAUCUAUGAUAGGAAAUAGGGUAAAGGGUCAUUACUUGAUUUGACACCAAAAGGCUAAAUAGUUUAUUACGCUUACGGGCAGUCCCUGGACUCCCUGAAUUUUUCACCGGGAACUGAAACGUGCUUAUGAUACCUACAAAUGUCCCAAAUAAACCUAAAAAUCAGUCCCAGGGUCUACUCGGCCAAUUUCAGAAAUCCGGAACGGCGGCUCUGCCAUGCUCCGGCUACGGUCUGCCUCAUGUCGGCCGUUUUUAGCCGAAUUCGGUCGAUUUUAUAUCGAUUCCUACGAGCACACACGCUAAAAGGUCUCGGUGGACUGAAAAAAUACGAAAAACCGAAACUCACCAAUUGUGGGGCUUUCCGGUGCGGCGGCUCCUCCGUCUCAAGUUGCAAUUGGGUGUUUCGCUUUGGUCAAUCUGUAGAGAAGAAAACGGUGAUCACAACAGAGAAAAAAUUACAUGAAAUGGAAAUCGGGAAGGGCCUCAUCGAAGGUAGUUUGUAAAACUUCUCGCGGGAGCGCCGUUGGGCUUCGACGAUAUUUUCCGGCCAAUUGGCCAGUUCUUUCACUCCAAUUUGGCUGUGAGUGGGUUUAAAAUUGGAUUUCGUGCAAAAAUGGCGAAUUUUUACCUUUUUUAGCAGUCGGAAAUGAUUCCGGUGCGGUGACGGGUGGCGGCGGUCGGCUCUCCGGCAACUGGGUUGUCUUCUCCGAUGAGGGGUUCUAGCGACUUGAUCUGGGUCGUCCAUCACUUUUGAUUUGGACCGUUCAAUCGCGAUUAAAUAGGUAGUGAAUCUAGACCGUUCAUCGCGAUUCAAUAUGGGCUGUCAGUGCGCAAUUCACUCUGGGUCAUCCGUGUGCACGGGAACGGACCUCAGCUGUUGGAUCGCGCGUACGCGGAUCGGCCGCAAGGCCUCCCACGUCAGCGCCUCUGCCACUUGGUACAUCUUGGUUGGUCGGGACUGCUGACCGGACGUCUAACGUGACACAAUUUUUUUAAAUUGCAUUUUGACCUCCGAUUUUUAAUUUUUUUUUCAAAAAACACCCACAGAACCCAAAUCUUCACCCAUUUUCUCCAAAAUUAUUUUCAAUUUAAUCCUUUACCAAUUUAGUCAAUUUUUUAUUAAAUUAAAAUAAAACAAAAUAUAAAUUAAAUAAUUAAAAAUUAUAUUUAUUAAUAAAAAAUAAAAUACAAAAAAAAAUUAUGUAGGUGUUACAUUAAAUGUAAACGGGAAUUCUUUGAUUAGUUGAAUGAAUGAAUGAUAGACUUACUGGAUAUCAUGUGAGAUGGUGAACGGACUGGGUACAUAGGAAACCCUACUGUGAACGUCGUCUCAUACCGGACGGGAUAUCGAGAAUUGGUAUUUUGGCGCUCAUAUCAGAUGGGAUAAGGGGACGACCCAUUUCACCCUCAUACCAGACGGGGUAUUGAAAGAUAGUAUUUUUAGCGCUCAUAUCGAACAGAGUAUGAGGACAGGCAGUUAAUUGAAAAUAUUGAAUAAUGGUUCAUGCCUAGUUGGGACAUUCCUAUGAACCCCUAUGGAUACCAGUAAGCAAAUAAAAAUGAAAAGUUGUUGUUCUGCCUAAUUGAAUAUGAGAUUAUGAUGUUGUUGAAUUAUUAUUCCUAUAGGUCAGUUUUGAAAAUCUCACUACGUUAAGUAUGCAAUAAAUGAUUUUAUUUUUUAUAAAUGAAUUUACUUAAAUUAAGAGCUCCAUUAGUUAUUUUUAUUAUUUUUACCAACGUUCAUUUCUAUAUCGGUGAGUUGUGUAAUAUUUUUAUUAUGGUAGUGUAAUUCACCCUUUCAUUAACCAUUUCAUAUCAAGAGAAUCAAGAUCCAGAUCUCCAUCAACAAACGAGUUGUAAAUACUUUACCACCCGAACUCCCUUCAAAUACUAGUGAAGAUUGUCCUAGAUAGCUAAUAAUUUACUUUGCAUUAUUUCUUAAUUUUUCACUUAUUUUUUUUUUAAUAGUCAUUAUCGUACUUUUAUUAGGUAUUCUAAAUUAUUGUAUAAACAAUGUAAACUGUAACUUUAUUAUUUCACUUACGCAUUCAAUUUAUAAUUUAUUUCUUUUCAAAUUUCAAACUACUACAUUUUUAGCAUAAUCGUUUUUGAUAUAUUAUUAUCUAAUUCUUAAUUUAUUUAUUAUGUUGUAACCAAAUCUCAAAAGUUUAUUUUUAAGUUGCUUUUAUAUUAAUUACACAAAAGAUAAAAGAUUUUGUUAUUUUUAUAAUAAAAAAAAAUUCCACAAAAAUUACGCCUUGAAACGAUUUUGUAAGUUAAGAAAAUUGAAUUGAAAUGAAAAAGAAAAUGAAGACCAAAUUGUAGCGCAAUAUAUAUAUAUAUAUAUAUAUGACAUUUCAAAUAAAAUUUUAUAUUUUAAUUUAAUAAUAAUAAUAAUAAUAAAUUUUAAUUAAUAUGAACAUUAAUUACUAAAUGAAUUAAAUUAUAAUUUUUCAGCCUCAGGUUCUAACUCAAAAUAUAUUGUACCCAGAAUUGAAGUCUAUCAGGAAGAAACAAACAAAAAUUACUGUGGUAUAAGCAAGUGAUUUUUUCACUUAAUAAACAGAAAUGACAUCUAGCAAAUUCAAAAGCAAAAAAGGCAAGAUUAUAGCAUCAUAGAAGGCUGCUACUUACCCUGACUAGUGAGAGAAUUUUUGUCGGAAGCUUCUUCUUAUUCGCUAAAAUUUUAUCAGAAGCUUCUUAACAGUUUAUACCAGAGUUGCCUUGACACAAAUGUUCAUGGCGAACUGUUGUAUUCAAGCAUGUGAUAGCUUAUCCAGGCUCAUAGGUAAUUUUUCAAAUUUACCAAACCAUCUACAACUACAGUUGUCAGUUAGCUAUGAUGAGACAGAGCAAUCCAACUUAUAAAGUAAGCAAGAUCUAAUCAUAGAAAUGGGGAGGCAAUCCUGGUCCAGCUUGAUCCUCUAAAGCAGCCUACUACAAUGUAGCCAAAUUAUAGAUGUUGCUGCAAUUUGAAGGAUGUUGAGAGUUGGAAAAUGAAUUACCACUUUUGCUUUGCAAAGAGAGUGAGACUCGAUGCGUAAGUUCCAAAAGCUCCAUGCAGCCCUCAACAGUUUCCAUUUAACUGUCAUAACACGAAAUUAGUUGUUAACAAAUUCCUAGUCAGAACUUAGGAGUACAUUAGUACUGUUGAAAUAAAUAAACUAUAAUCUGCUAUCUUGGGUUUUUUAUGGACUAAAGAAGGUUGUUUUUAAUUGGGGGAAUUAAGUCUUUAAUUAGUAAGUCUUUAAGUUGUUUUAAGCAUCUCAUUAUCGGCUAUAUAAGCUGAUGCCUUCUGAUUGCAAUUCUUUCAAUCAAAUAUGUAACCCACUUCUCUAUGCAUAUUCUCUCUCUGGUCUCCAACAUUCUUCUAUGCUUUUUCUCCAUCUCCUUCUAUUUCUUCUUCUACUUUCCAGGUUCAUAUUUGAGGAACCUAGCAUUCCUCAGUGAAACAUAAAUUGCCUGAUUAACUUGGAGAUAAAUGAUCAUCAUAGAAAAUAACCAGAAAGGUUUUAAGAUCAAUAAGAUUAAGCAGACAAGAAGUAUAUGGCAGCAUUAUAAAUAGAUAGGGAUACCCUGCAUAAUGAAUUCUUAAAUGGCCAAGAGAAUAUUUCAAAGCAAAGGAAGAAAAGGGGCAGAAAAAUUGCAUACCAACAACUGCAGCACAUGGGAACAUGUCCAGAAUGUCACCCAGCUUGAACUGACUUCAUCAAGAAUCUAAGGAAUUUCUUGAAACUCCAAAAUUCAGAAACUUCAGCGCUUAAAGACUUUGGCUUUUGUUUUUUUGAAAUCCUCCGGACGAGCCAAAUCUGAAGAAGACAAGCUCAUCUCCUCUGAAAGUUUCAUAGCCAGUUCCAGCUUUCCUGCCCUCUUCAAGUUACUGAUUAAUGAUCUAUAGAUAUAUAUUGAUGGACGGAUCUUUCUUUGUUUCAUCUCACAAAAUAAUCUUACUGAUUCAUUUAUGUUCCCAGAUCUGCCGAAGCUAUCAAUCAGUGCUGUAUAGGUGAGCAAAUCAGGUUCAAAUCCACUCUCGGUCAUUUCCUUGAAAUAUACAAGGCACAAAUCUAAUCUCCCAAUCUUUCUCAAGCUGUUUAUUAGAGUAUUGUAAGAAAUGAUAUCUGGAAAAAUACAAGCUUCUUUCAUAGAUGUGAAUAAUUCAAGCAUUUCACUCGUACGACCAAUCCGACCGAGCAUAUCUAAAAUAGUAUUGUAAGUUAUCAAAUCAGGCUUACACUUGAAGCCUUUAAUAUUAUCAAAUAUCAGAAGAGCCUUGUCUACCUGCCCACAUUCAGAAAAGGCAGAGAUGAUUCUGUUUACAAUUAUCGUGCUUGACGGGAAGGCCAACUCUGAUACUUCCUUGACAAAUCGAAGUAAGUGAGUAUCAUUGUCUGUCCUUAUAAAAGCCCUAGCAAGGUAAAGAUAAGAAGUUGAACUCAAUGGUUUACCAGACAACAGUAAAUGUUUGAAGAUCUGAGAUGAAAGUUCAGUAUCAUUUUUUUCACCCGCUGCUUUCAAAAGGAUGUUAUUUGCUUCAGGGAGAAAAAUAUUUCUCUCUUGCAGAGCUUGCACUAAAUUAGCUGCAGUAGAAAGUUUUCCAGCUCCGCAAAGCUUUCUUAUGUGAACAGUAUAGACUUCUUCACUAAACUUUGAAGCACUUCUAUCCAAUGAGAGAAUAUGAUCUGAUAAUCCAUCAGGCACUUCCCCCAAGUCCGAAGAGGGCCUUGUUGUGAAUGAUUGAUAACUGCCAAUAGCUUUACUUAAAAUUGCUAUGGAUGGCCAGAUACCAAUUGGGAUGGUUGUGGUGCAUUUCUGUUAAAAGUAGAAUCAUUGAGCACAACAUUUAAAAAAAAAAAUGUUAGAAAAACAAACAAGUGAAGUAUCAAUUAGGAAAAAGACACAUCAGACAAAGUUCCAAAUCAAGCUUUACUUCAUUGAGCUGGAGUUCCCAGAGAUAUUAGAACCUCUAUCCACUUACUAAAUUAAAAAUGACAAGAAGACAACUCAAUGAACAGCUAAAGGUUAACUGGCAUAAAACACUGACAUCAUCCCAUUCCACAACUAGGUAAUUGGCUAAUGCCAUAAGGAGCAUGCAUUUAUUAAAAAGAAUCAGAAUACCUCAUAAAUUAUAUGUCAACCCCUUGAACUCUUUCACCAAAGCUUAAUUAGGCUAGAGCAAAAAUUUCGGUCUCAAAAAAAAAGGCCUAAGAUCUACUAUAGUCCGACUAGACCUACCAAAUUAUUCAGCUCGCUAGGCAAUUCAGGGUAGUUGUUGCUAAGUUGGAAUGCUAGUUGGUCAUCUAAUGUUGGUUAGUCACAUUUUAUUUUUCAUCACAUUUUUUUAAUUUCAAAAAGAAUGUGAUGAAAAAUAAUCUAAAAUAUCCCAUUGGCAAUUCAAGAGAAGCUUUCCAAUAAAAAAUGAAAGUGGAACAUAUCAAGGAAAAUUUCCAUCUUGUGAUGCAAAUGCUAAAAGCUAAAUUAUUCCUCAUAGAAUCUUAGUAAGUUUUCAAAACUAUCUAUCUCAUAGACGAUCUUAGAGAUCUGUACUCCGUUCAUUAUGAAGAUCAUUUACAUUUUUCUUUGUCUACGUAAAUAUCAAUAAGUUCUAAAUCACUUCCUUUUCUCUUUUUAGCUCUAUUAGACAUUAUUUGUCACUUAGAUUGCUUGUGCUAUCCAUGACACUCUUCAAGUGUUUACAUUUUUCAUAACUACCAGAAUAGUUAAUAAUUCCUUACCAAUUAAUUCAAAUUCUACCAAAAAAUCAAUCCAUUCAAAGGACAAGAAAAAAGAAAAUUCAGUCAACCCAUAGAAGUAGUUCCAACACGAAUCACAUAAAACCAAAUGUGAUAAGAUAAGCUCAGCAUAUGGACCAAAUAUCCUACUAAUAAUCCCUCAAGAAAAUUCUCAAUGUCUCACUAAAAUCUCACAGCAAAAAAGAAAAAUUCCAGCUUUACUUUGAUACUGCUAACUUAUAUAACAUGGAUAACCUCCAGUAUCUAUUGCCGAAGAACAAUUUGUAUAUAUGCAGAUUGCAUUAUAACUGGAAACAGAACUACAAGGAAUUACCGGUGGCAACAAGCCUGUUCUUGUUUUGCAACGGGAAAUGUGCUUGAAGCACGAAGCAACAGGUAUCAUGCCCGUCUACUCCAGUGUUAAAAUGACAAAGCAUACACAUUUAUUAAGAUUUCCGGCAAGGUGGUAUUCUAAUCUGAGCGCCAUAGACCUGUAACCUGUUCUGUUAUCAGUACAUAUAAACACAAUCAUAAAACCCAGCCAACUAAACCAAAAAAAAAAGGACUAUAUCAUGAAACCUCAACAAUUAAGAAUGAUAUUUGAAAAUGCCCCAAACCAUACAAAUAAUCAAGGCAGCCAAUAUUACUAAGAUGAACUUUUAUAUAUCUCAAGAACAACUAAAUCUGCUAGUUUCAGAUUAGUAUAUGAACACAUACAAACAGCCUUCAACAAACAAAUCAAUUAAGAAAAGUAAAAAGAUAAUAUCAGGAAAGAAAUAAAAGCUUUUGUUGAUAAUAAGUUAUUAUCAGUUAAAAUAACAUCAUUUAAUCCUCCAAUGAUAUAAUAUUGCAAUUGCUAAAUCACAAUAUAAGCAUAUAUACACGAGGCAAAAGGCAAUACCUAAUAAUACUUAAAACUCAAUGCAUUUCAAAUAACAAUUUGCAGCCAGUAUAUAACACCGAGAAAAUUAAAUGGGUCUCCCCAGCUUUAUCCGAACUGUCAUUUUAACAAACAGUUAGCGUGCAAAGAGCUUCCAUACGAGUUAAAUCAUUUGCAGACCAGUAAAUUCACAGAACCAAGCAUGAUCUAGAGUACAUACUACAGAUAUUUCGAAGGGAGAAAAAGCAAGAAAUAACAAAGAAAUCCCAUGUAACAUCCACCGUUUGUACAGAGAGAUUUAAGCAAGGAUACCAAAAAUCAGUUCAUGAGAAAGUAAAUAUUCAUGUCUGUAUCCAUCGUUACCAGAAUGUUUCCAUUCCUGACUCAGCACCAUCACCGUGGCUUGAAAUCGAUGCCUUGCUGCGAAUUUUUUUUGGCUAUUAUGACAUCUGCGCGCGCUUGACCGGGUCCGUGGUUGCUGUAUAGAAGGAGACACGACGACUUGCGACUGGUGGUCGAUCACGGCGAGCAAAGGCACGAAUGGAUUGAGAAAUUUCUCAGUGGGGUUUGAACGAAAUGAAAUUUGAGCGUCAAAGUGCCGAUUAAUUGUCAAGAAUUAAUCUUUUUGAAAAGAUUUCGAACAGUUCGUAGUUGGAUUAAAUAAAUUAACAUAUUUUAUAAUAAAUUAUUAAAUGAAAUAAAUUUGAUUUUGAUUCAAAUGGGUUUUGCUUUUGUUUUACUUUGUGUUGACGUUAUCAUUUAUAUUAAUCAAAUAAUAAUUUUAUAUAAUAAUUAAUUAAUGUUGUAUAAUUAUUUGAUUAUUAAUUAAGUACUAAAAUAUUAUAAAGGUAAUGCAAACCAUGGUAAACAAAAAUCACCUCUGUAACUCUUGUAUAAAGAAUCAUAUGUAUAAUUAAUUUGGUAAGGUUGUAAACGGUACAACCAUAAGAACAAUACACCAUCAAAGAUUAAAUUUCACGACCCUAUUACCGGUCAAUACUAUUUCACUUAAUUUUUAUUUCAUAAUCACAUAUUUCUCCGGUUAAGAUAGUCAAUUCAUUAUAUCAUCGACUACUAAAUUAUAAAUAAAUAGGAUAUAAUAGUCUCGUAUGACUUACAUGAUUGAUUCUUCUAGUUGCAGAUCAAUCAAAUGAAACCCUCGAUAAUCAAUCUGUACAAAAUCGUGCAGCCUAAUUACAAGGCAAAACAAUAUAACAUGUGACAGUUGGAUGAAUGUCAUAACUUCAUCAUUCAGAUAAUUGCUCAGAUUCAUCAGAACCAUCAGAUGUCACCUCUGAGCCCUCUUCUUCUUCUUCUUCUUCAUCAAUCUCCACGGCUCUACUGGAAGUCAUUCUGGAUAAUGCUGCCGUUUUGCUUGCCCUUUGAGAGCGAGUCAUUGCAAUGCCAGGAGUAGUGGCAGCUGCAAAUUGAACAGUGGCUGGCGAGUCUUCUUCAUCGGAGGAUGUUUCUUCAUGCUUCAUGGGUCUCCUUGAGCGAGUUUGUCUUGUGGAGCGCGCAGCUGGUGUUUCUGGCACUGCUGGUGGUGUGCUUUCAACAUCCAAUUUGAAGUCUACACCUAACCUCCCUGUGAAAAAAGCAUAGAUAGAUGAAUAAUAUAUUUUAUUAAUGUUUCUUGAAAGGUAAAUAUAAUAUACUAAUAGAAACAAGUUUUUAGAAAGCAGACAUAAAAUCUUGGAGCAGAAACAUUACAAGAAAACAAACCAAAAAAGCUGCUGAUACAAAAAUUAGCAAGGAGGUCCCACAGCUUCUCAAAAAGACACUUCGAUUAUCUCACUUUACAUUUGAUUAACAUGGUCACUUAAAAGAAGAAAGUUGGUAAUAGAAGCAAAGAAAUUAUGAGCAGCUUGAACACUCUCACAACAUUCAAGCAAAAUGUAGCAAAAAAAUAUCAAGCGAGCUUUCUUCUAACAACCAAGUAGUACUGCAAAACCAAGAGCAUCAAAAAAAUCGACUACUGCAAAAACAAAACUUGAAGGUCUUCACAAGAAUUGCUUAGCAGCAAGGACAAAAAACAGCCCCUGCACAAAGAAAAAUCAUGAAUAACAGAAACUACAAAAGAAAACUCCCACCAAUUCUGCCGAAAACAGUAUUUAAAAGACAAAUUCAUUGUAUUACUAAUAUAUAAGCUUCUUAUUUUCGGAACACAUUAUUUAUCUUCAAAUUCUGAGACUACUCCGUCUCAUACUUUUGAUAUUUUGCCUGCCAUGUCUAAGUUUAUACAAAUAUGAAGAACAAUCUGACAAGACAACUAAUUAAAAAUCUAAAACACGAUAGUUGCAAAUUCAAGACAAAGAAUAAGGGCCUAUGUCCACAGGCUAAAAGAUAAAGAAUUGUUAGUACAAUUUCUCUUAAUUUAGCUAAGCUAUCUUGACGCGUGAUGAAUGAUAAGCCUGCUGGUAGAUGAAUGAAGUAUAUGCAGAGCAAAGAGCACAAUCAUUUUCUCCUUUGCUCUGAACAGAACCAAAGGUUUAUCUUCCAAGAAGUUUCUUGGCUUCUGCUUCAAAUUUUUGUUACACUUUUAGCUUUCAAAAUUUUUUGAAACUAAUCUUUCUAUAGUUACCACAUUCAUUCAUAGAUUAAAUCAUUAAACAAGCAUCAUUUUCAGAAGACCAGAAUUUACCAAAAAUAGAGUUAGCUUGGUCUUGCAAAAGUGUCUGAUCCGGAUGUGUAUCUGCAGAACUGAGACGUUCAGCCAUCCACUUUAACUCCUUCAGAAGAUCUUUCUCAGCUGAGACAGAUUCAAUUACACUAGAUAAGAGCCUACGCAUGAGCUUUAUUGCUUCUUGGUCUGAUGAUUGGAAAUGGAGUGAACCAAGUAUUUUGCACAAUGCUGAGACAUAUGCCCUCUCUGCAGGUGUCUUCUUUGCAUGGAAGCUUCCCACCUUCAAAAUGUGUAAGGAAACAAAAUUAAUGCAUUGGAAAUCUAGAAACAUUUAAGGUUAGUAACUUAACUAUCGUUAAUCAUAAGUAUUUUUCUGAAAGAUAUUCCCUGACUAUCAUAUGAAACUAUAAUUCGAAUGCCAACAGCUUCUAAAUGUCACCUGUAAAAUAGGGAUGCCAAAGAUCUUAAGUGAUUACAAAAGAUUCAGGUUUAACUACUUAUCUUCUAUACACACAGCCCACACACAAGAAAGCUUGGAAAAAGCACAACCUCCUAUAUCUUACUUUGAAAUUUAAAUUUACAGUCACCACAACUUGUACUAAUAACCUCUUAUUCAGAUAUGAACUAAUUGAAUUGGAUGACUAAUUAUCCCAAAAUUUUAAGCCCAUAGAAAAGACACUAACUUUAUAAUUUGUACUCUAACAUCAUCAUCCUUGCUAAAGAAACAAUUGAGUAUCCUCAUCUAGUGGAAGAUAUGUUAUUAGGGACAUUUUUAAAUCAGACAGGUUUCACUUCCUCCUAAAUCUUCUAACGAAAAUUUAGAUCAGCAUACCCUUCUCUUGUCUACCAGAGAAAACAACUGAUACUCAAAUUUUUGGAAUUCCAAGAUUAUGGAAGCAUAGUAAGAGAGUUGAUCCUCUUUUUCUAGAAACAAUUCAUGGCCAUAAGAAAGCAAUGCAUGACUCUAAAAUAAGUGAUACUUUGUUCUGUUUCUAAUAGGUGAUAUAGAUGCUUUGUUCACACCGACUAGAAAUCUGUUCAUGUAGAACCAAAGAAUUGAUAGCUGACUGUUUAUAGUAGUUGAACAAAAGAGGUUUUGAUGAUAGCAAUUCUGACAGAACAAAAAUUAUGUGUGCAAGCAGACAAAAAGCAAUGACAAUAAUCAAGGUAAUCAUAAACCUUCAGAACACGAAAUUUGAAAGAAACCAUUAUCGUCAAUAACACAAAUAGAAUAGUCGAAUCUUAAGGCAAGAAGCAGUACCUCAGUAGCUAUGCGUAUUGCAAGUCCCUCUUCACCACAUUCAAGUGAAUAUUGCAUACAGUUAUCUAUGGUUUCUGGCAAAUCACUGUUAUGGGCUUCGUUCUCUACCUCAGUCUCUUUUAUAUAUAAUGGAGCCUGUAUCAUCUGCAGCAUAAACUUUGAAGCUUGUACUGCACGCUUACGCAUUUUUGAGACCACAGCUGGUGAACCUCCAGGAUUGCCAUUGAUGCCAGGCCACAUAGAGCGCAUUACAUGAAGAAAAGCCCUGGAGACACACUCCUGCAUCACAAGAUUAGAAUGUCAAUGCCACAAAUAUGUAAGUCCAAAUUCAGCACAAAAAUAUUUAACUUUUUGUUUAUGCACACACAUAUAUUUUUAAGUUAUAAAACAAACCAGAGGAACAAGUGUUACCUUAUGAUUCAUUGAGAGGGAAGCAUAGUGCUCAAAGAAAACAGAUAAGCACUGUUUCAAUCUGGUUAAGAAACAUAAAAAAGAAAAUCGAGUUAGAACCACUGUUCUCAUAAUAUAUAAGAGAUUAAAGAAGGAAAAACAAAAACCAAUCAACCUUUGCAGUUCUUUCGACUCAUCACUGAAAUAAAUGGUUAUGAGCUUUGCUAAGAGCACGGGGUGACAAGAAGCUGAUAUGCUUGGGUACUUCUCACUUAGAAGAAGAAAUUUUGCAAAUCCCUCCGCAAGGAUGGCCCGAACUGACUCAUUGUCAUGACUUUCUGAUGACUCAUUCCAGUCAUUAUCCUCUAAUCCAGAGAAUAAGAGAUCAAGUAAUUUGACAUCCAGAUCUCCAUCUGCAUCAGAAAAGUUCACAGGACUAUAUUCCAAGUUAUCCUUUUCAAACUGAGACAACAGGUCCUUUCCCAUGGCCUUGUCAACCUCCUGAGGACCAUGCCACAUCCCAAGAUCAAUUAGUGCUUUGCAUGCCAUUAUACUAAUUGGGGGAGGACCUUUAGUAACAGAGAGUCUUAACUGCUUUACAAGCUCCUCACUAGGCUUGUUCUCCAGUAAACCAAAAAGACCAAGGCACCUAAUAGCAAUCCUUUGUACAUCCAAGUGAACAUGUUUUGCCUGCAUUUCAAUAUCAAAACAGUAAUGAGUUCCUUCCAGAACAGAGACUUUUAUUGAAUGUUUAAACAACCAACCAGGAAAGGUACAAAACAAAAGAAUCCUUUGCUAUUUAGUAAGCUGAAUGUACUUGAUUCACUUCAGCAUGCCAAUAUCUCAUCAGAAGUAAACUAGAAACUUCAAACAGUUGAUGCUGUUUUCAUGCUAUAAAUAAGAUAUUGGAGAAAUCUCACACCCGUAGAACUUAAUGCACAUGCCCAUAAGACAAAAGGAAAAUGUGUAAAGCAAAACAGACCAGAAAUAUGUAAUGAAUCCUUACAGCUGGAAGCAAUAAAGUAUGUAGAAUUUCAGCAGAGUCUGUAGCCUUUCCUUGGAUCCAACGAAGUGAUUUUGCACCCUCUAAAAGUAAGCCAGUUAUGGCAAGGCUGUGUAUCCACUGCAUGAAGUCUGCCGUCCUUUCCCUGCAAGGUUUAGCUAGCUCUUCAACAACUCCAAGAAGAAUUUCUUCAAAUUCGCCAGCAGCAGCGUGAACUUUACGUACUAGUACAGACACAGCACCAGCCCAAUCUUUGUCACCACCAAGGUUAAUUCCAUCUCCUAUGAUGAUGUUGUUACCAUUUUCAUCGAUUUCAUGCUCAAGGGGCAUUUGCAGCAAGUCCUGCACAAACGAACUGGCAACCUUCCUGAUUGUGACAUCAGAAAAAUCAAGCAUUGAACCAAUCAAUAAUAGUUGCCUUGACGCGAAGCGGUAAUUUGGUCCUGAAAGUAAAAUGCUUAUUAAAAGAUUUCAGAAGUAGAAUUUCAUAUUUUGUUGACAAAAUUAACUUAACCAACCAGCAUCUAUAUGGGCUUUGACCAAAGAAACAUAGUCAGAAACUGUUGCAGGCAGAAUCUGCUCCAGUAGAUCAUUGUUAUCCGAAGCUUCUGCUGCAUAUACUGCUGCUUCAGUGCCCAUCGUAGCUGCCGCAUCAGAACCUUUUUCCUACUCAAACAUUUUGUCAUUUCACGGAUACGGUUAGCUAAAUGAUGUGAUAAGAAGAAAUAAGCAUGAACAUUUUUUAGAAAUUUCUUUACUAUUGAUCUUCAUUUGGAAGGCAUACUUAGUUGCAUCUUUGCGCUGAUUUCUACAAACCCAUAAUUUUUCCCCUUUUUCACAUGCAAGCAAUAUUAAAUCUUUAAGGUAAUUGUACAAAUCAUUUUGAGGAGCUUCACAACCAAUUGUUUUGAGGAGCUUCAUGACAAAUAACUUUACAUCUUUAAGUUCAAUUUAAACUAUCAUAACUUUUGUAGUCUCACAGAUAAAGAAUAAAUUAGACAACCGGCAAAUAGUGAACUGAAAAGACAGAUCAAUCAUCUAAAAGAAAGAGAUCAUGUUCUUGACCAAUGGUGUUGAGUUAUUUAUUUCAAAGCACUGAAAUCCUUCAUUAGAAUUUAGAAAUGAAAUUAGCACAGCAAAAUCUAUAAGACACAUAUAUGGAAACCAGAGAGUAUUCAGGGUGUACUACAUUGUAAAGAACAUUCAUUACAUUAAAACUAAAAUUGUUUCAAUCUUGUAAAAUAAAAAACAAAACAUUUAUCACUUUACAGUUUAGUUACGUUUUAUAUAAAAUAAGAUAUGAAUAUUAACAAUUUUCUAUAUGGGAAAAAAUAUCUACUACAUCACGGGUUGAGUUAUUUUGCUCUUUUUUUCUUUUUACAAAAAAAAAUUACAUUAAGUGUUUUUCGAUGAUCACAGACAAUAUUAUUUUAGUAGCCUCAAAGUAACAUAAGAUAAAGCAUAAUACUGAAAAGGUAAUGCCUAAAACCAAAUUUUAAUACAUUACAAAAAUUGAUAAAUUCUUAAAAAAUGAUAAUAAUGAUAAAUUGUAUGUUUCUAAAAAAAAAAUUUACCUCAGUUUAAUUUAUGAAACAAUCAUACAAAAUAACAAUUAAAUAAAUGAAGUGUAAAGUGAAAAUAUACCCAUAAUCUGCAUUUUAGAAUGUGAAUUUUCAUGUCAUAUAACUUAUCUUAUAGAAAAAUAUCAUAGAAAGUGAUAAGAGAUAUAAUAUUAUCUUCUAUAACUAAGAAGGUAUUUCUUUAAUGCGAAUAUUCUACACUUGAUAAAUAACUAAACCAAUAAAACUAACUGUAUGUCCUCUUAUCUCCCAUUAAACAGUAGAUCAAUUCUUAAGAAAUCACUCCCGAUCCACAACUAUAGUUAACUAUACAAACAAUGGAAAUUCCUAAAACACAAGGAUGUAAGAACUUAAGAGGCUGCAUUCUCAAACAUCCAAGUAGUCAAGAAGGAAGAAGCUUGAAGAUUGGAUAGAUAAGAGCUGAAAAUAAGCAUUCACUCAAGCUGUAUUUGCAACAAAUAUAUCCUACAAAAGAAGUGGGGAAAUCCAGAGCCAGCUUUUCCAAAAAAGAAGCGCAGAAUGACUUCAUGGAAGGAGAUAAAAAGUGAACUAGAAGAACCAAUCUUUGAAAGAGAAAAAGUCCAAAGCCAGAUAUGCCACAAAAUAAGUGCAGAGUUAAUCUAGAAAUAAAAUUUCCUAUGCAUAUUAUAAAUAUAAAAAGGUCGAUUUGCAAAUGAAUUCUACUUUUUGUGGAAUUCAUUUGUUCCAAGACUAAUGUAGUUGUACUAGCAUUUCACGAAACAAUACAUAAUUACCUCAUAACAAUCUCAUCAACAUUUCUAUAGGCGUAAAAAGAAUUAACUAAUGGAUUAACAAAAGAUCAGAAACCAUUGAUGGUGUACUAACAAACCUACUUGUGCUUUCAUUUGCAAAUGCCUGCAUAGAGUCCUCCAAUAGAGAGCAACCUCUGGUUCCAUUAGCUGGAUGCUGAGCGUGCUAAGCGUAGAACUCCCUAUCAUUAUUUCGUGAAACAAUUAAGAAAUGGAAAGUAAAAACUGACCCAUGGUACCUUUUGGAUAUAAGCCAUGAUAGGGCCAGGCAUGUUGAGCUCAUAGAAAAAGUGAAAAUUCGACAUAAGCUAAAGUGAAACACCAUGGUAAAUCAGCUUGAAAUUCCCCUGAAAUUUAAUUCAGAACUACUUAUACGAGGGGAAUAAAGAGCUACAGAAAUAAGUAGCAUGACUCCAAAUAUCGAAAAAGGCUACCUAUGGGGAAAAAGUUAGUUGGAUUACUAUGGGAUUUCAGAUAAACCUCAUUCUCUUUUCCUCUCUAAUCUGGUUCUUCCUUUCUGCUGGGUGAUGAUUUUUUUACUUGUUUUUUUGUGGUUUAUUUAUGGGUUCCUUCAUUGCUGGGUUUUUUGUUGCUUUGUUUACGAGUUCAUUCUUGGUUCUUCUUGUUUUGAAUGUCUGUUUCUCUAGCUUUGGUUUGUUUGAUUAUUUCUUAAAGGAUGUUAGUACGAUAUCGACAGAAAGAAAUAUAUUUACUUCUCAAGAAAAAAAGAAGAAUGCAUAAAUUAACAAUAACCAACUCCAGGACAAACCAUAUCUGACAUAUACUAAAUCCUACCACCUCUUGAUGAAGCCAGACAGAUAAUUUUGACAUGAAACAAGGUCUAUGUAUGCAAUCUUUAAAAAAAAAAUUGAAUAGUUCCCUUUACAGUAGAAGAAAUCAGGUAAAUCGGUCAAAAGUUUACUCAUCAAGGUAACACUCAUUUUUUAACAAGAAAAACAAUCUAAACUGAAAGAUGACAUACAAAAUAACAUAAUCAUUGGACCAAAACAUGCUUCUGGAUGUCAUUAAGCUCUUUAACUUGUAUGCCAAGGUAAAUACCAACAGAUGAACUGUUGGACAAUCUCCAGCUUAGCUAAGUUACAUGUAAAGUUGGCUGGUGUUAGCUUCAAACCAUCACUGUUAACCAUACCAGUUGUUAUAGGCACUAUAAAAGGAAGUAAGAGAACUAGAAAACUGAUUAAACUGAUGGAUUAUCUUAGAGCUAGCUAAGUUACAUGUAAAGUUGGCUGCUGUUACCUUCAACCCCUACUCUCACUAUCACUGGCAUCAUAGAUACCAUAGAAGGUAAUAAGAGAGAUAAAGUUAAGGAAUAAUACAAGAAAACAAAACAUUAAGAAAUAUACAGAAAGCUCCACCGACCUCCAUUUUGAUCACAGGCUGAUGAUAUGUAUUGUUGGAUACUUCCACAUUCAUGCAAUUUUACUGAACCAGAACUUAACAAAGCCACCAUGACUGACUCUCCAACUGAUUCAUAUGUCUCAACAUCAAGAUACUUGAGAAGUUCUACAGGGUCCCCAUUGCAACUCUUAGUGAGCCACUGAUCUUUCAUUAACUUUAAACAUUCGUUUGAAACAGCUACACAACGAUCCACAAGUCCUCUUUGAAGAAUAAUUGUCCUAAGCUUGAUGCUAAAGCAAGAAAUUGAACCAAAAGUUAAGAUAAACUUCAGAUAGAUAUCAGAUGACUUGACAACUAAAAUGAAAGAUAAGCCUUGACAAUAUGAACUAUGGUAAACAAACUCAAAACGGGAGGAAAACAAACUACUAGGAAGAGAGAAAGCUCCAGAGCGAAUUUCUUAAUAUUGGAGAUCGAUCAUUGCUUAACCUCUAGCUCAAGAUUAUGAGAUAUUGCCUAAUGAUAUUUCUCUUUUUGAAUUCUCUGACUAAUAAAAACCUCAAUGAAUUACAUUGAAGAUGGCCAGCCAAUCUUCAUUAUAUAAAUUAAGCUUUGCGCUAGCGAGUAGUUAUACUUAGUGAUGUAUAUAAGUAUAAACGAGAUGGUUAUUGAUAUAAGUUAUUGAAUUACCUUAGACUCUGAAGAGGAAACUUAUUGGCCAGAACACAAUAUGCUGCUUUACGCACGUACUCGCUAACAUCUAGCGUAGCGUCAAUAAUUGCUUGCGAAGUUGAAUUUGAAGGAGGCAAUGAUAAGACAAUUGCCUUGCGAACCUCCUGUAAACAUUCCAUAUUUGGGGAUCUAAGAAGUAGCGUCUCGAGGAUUCUUAGAGUUUAAAAAAAUCAAUAGCAUUUUCUAUGACAACACUCGCAUAUUAUUUUAUGUGAUGAGAACCAUUACGAAAUGAAACCCCUAUGUCAAACCACAAUCUAGCACAAGCUCCACUUUUAUGUGCAGUUAUGUUUGUAAGAGACUCAAAACUAUAUUUUCAAGUUGAAUUAUUGAAUUUUACAACAUAAACAAUUUUACAUACAUAAGAUAAAAAGUUUUCAGGCCUUUCAUAUAAAUAAGGAGCAACUUUUCAAUAUAUUAUGUCACCUAUUUUUGUAAUUCCCUUCAAGAAAACGCCACUCCAAGCAAUCCUAUCUAUGUUUCAACAACAUUCAGUAUCACCGCUAAUGGUAAGGUUAAAUUCUUCUUUGAAGCUCCAGUUGAAACCUCUGUAUGGCAAGUCAGCCAAAAAAUUUGACUGAAUAAUUUGUUGAUUUUGUUUGAUGCAUCACAUCUAUGAAUAGCAGGUCUCAGGCAAAACAAAUCUGCAAAAUCUAGUCCACGAUCUAUUUACAAUAAUGAGGGAAGUAAAUAUCAAAAUGAAAAUUGUUCAUAUACCUUGGUCAAUAGGGAAAAGUCUGUGGAACAAAAACUUUCCAAUAUACUUCUAGGAACUUAAAAUAUAUAUAUAUAAUUACAAGUAAUCAAAUAGGAAGGAGGAGAGAGAGGGAACGGGACAUACAUACUAUUACAUCCUAGCAAUCAGAUACCAGAGUCUCACACCUUCUAUUUUCUCUUUGUACAUUAAUAUGUUUUGAUCAUAUGUACAGCAAAAGACCAUGCUUGUACAAGAGAACAAGAUUCUUGAUUAAGAAUAACUAAAUUUCAAGGAAGAUAAUAUUCCUCUCGAGAAUCAAAACCCAAUAAGAAAUUGGUUCAUUUGACAAGGUUGGAAAACUCACCGCAUUCUGUUCCAACGGUAGCACCUCCAGAAGCAAAUCAAGGACGUCCAUGUUCUCAGAAUCGUUAAGAAAGCGUGAAAGCCCCCUAACUGCAAAGGUUCGGAUUAAAGGAACCUUAUCCCCCACUCGCAACCUCAGACAUUCUAUCACAUCAUCCCAAAGUUCAUUGCUUACUUCAGUAUCAUCAGGCAACCGCAAUAUGAUCUGAAAAAAAAUAUUGUCUUCAAGAAAAAAAAAAAAAAAAAGACUGGUGCACCCAAAAGAAAUAUGGGGAUUUGCAAAGAAAAUACAAACAGGCUGGAUCAAGUAUGACAGUGGAAACACAAAGGAAGUCAUUAGGCAAAGAGGUCUAAGGUUAUGUUUCGAAUAAAUCUAGAAAUUCCAUAGGAUUUAUUGGUAAAUUGAUUCUUAGCUCAACUAGGAAACGAUGCAACUUCUAUUAGAAAUUUAAAAGAUAAUAAGACUCACAUAGAAUUUUACAUGGCUAUGGAACAAGACAUAACUAAUUUAAUUAAAAUUGAUAGAAUUUUGAAAUAUAUUGUAUCAAUUCCACGUAAAUUUCAACUUUAAUCAUUUUAGAGAGCAUUUUCAAUGUAUUUUGAUUAAAAUAAGUGUAGAUCACACAUAAAUUCGACAAAUACAAUGAUUUUGUUUCAACUAUAGCAUUAUAGAAUAUGAUCAAGAAAACUCAAUGAGGGCUGAUUGCUGUGAAUAAAUAAAUAAAAAGAAAAAUAUUCUCUAACAUCGAACAACCUCAACUGAAACUGCUGCCAGAAGAUGCGAAGGGUAAUUUUAGCUACAAAAGGAGGGAAAAGGAAGACAUAACGUCUCAGAACUUUUCCUUAAAGAUGCGAAAGCUGAAUUGAUACAAACAUUUGCAGUACCUUGCUCCCUGGUAACCCCAGGCCACAAUCAAUGUUCACUUUACUAUUCCGGUAAUUCUUUCUUCAAAUGAAACCACCAAAAAAAGCAAAAAAUGUGACAUAAUUUAAUCCAAAUAAGACAGUUAGAACGCCCAAAACCCUCUUCUCAAACAAAACUAAACACACUCAGAAGCCCAUUAUCAUCCAAUUCAAUCGAGCCCUAUAUCCCACUUCCUCUAGUUUGGAGAAAAUCUUUGCACCUAUAAAUAACACCUCGCAUAUCUUAUACAUUUCUCUCAAUUUUCUAUUAUGUUGGCAGUAACUAACUUUUAAAAGAAAACAAAAAUCCAAAUCCAAAACAGAUAUCAACAGUACCUCGGAUAUGAUCUGGCAACACCUGAACCUCGCAGUUUUAUUGGCGGCCCCGGCACCUACGAGAAGAAAUCUCAAGAAAUCCUCCAAGAACACUUCGCAAGCAGAGAUGUUCUCAGGGCCACGGAUGCCAGUGAAGACAGAGACGAAGCGGACGACGCGCUCGGCGGAGGCGGUCCGGCGCUGUACCUGGAAGAGAGGUGUUAGGGUUUUGGCAAACGCGGCGGAGAAUUGGUGAAUGGACGCUACUUUCGAUCGGAUUGCGGCGAGCUCCUUGAGUUUCCGGUUAUGCGUGGCGUACGAAGUUCGGGCCUCGUCAAAGAUUCUCGCCAUUUUCUGCAUCAGUUGACUCUCUACUGCUUCCAUCUCCGCAAUUUUCCCUCUUGAAAUCGAACUAUUUUCUCUCCUGAAGAAGAAAAUCCACCACGAACAACAGUCUCUGUAAAUUUCUCUGUGAAAUUCUCGUAUGAGAAUUGGAAGUAGCCAGUAGGAAAGUCAGAUCUGUUUGAAAUUCUCUGGCGAGGUGUUUUGAAUUUGAGCGGGAGUUGUAAAUAGUUAAAAGGAGACGGGCCCAACCGCUAGCGCCAGCACUCAAGAGAAAAAAAAAAUAUAUAUAUAUAUAUAUAUGUAAUUAUUUAUGUAACUUUACGGAAUAAAAUAAAUUGUAAAAUUAAUUUUAUAUUAAAAUUUAUUUAGAUAUUGAAUAUAAAAUAUCUUUUAAUUUAUUGUAAUUAAAAACUAAUUAAACAUAGGAAAUAUAUAUUUUUAAUAAAAAGAAUUAUUUGUAAUGUAAUGAUAUAGUCGGCAUAGUAUUUGAAAAUAGAUAUAAAAAUAAAUUAGUAAGAAAAUUACGUAAGUUAGAAGUAAAAAUAUAUAUAUUAAAUAUUUAAAUUACGUAUAGUUUAAAAUAUUAAAAAAGAAAACCCAAGGUGGUCAAUACCAAUUGUUGAUGGCUCGAGAAAUUAAAAUUAAGGCUACCGUGAUUAAUUAGAAUUAUGUUACCCGAGUAUUUUAGCUUAGUAUUCACUGUUUAGAUUAUUAGUUAACGUUAAACCUUAAGCUAAUUACUUUCAAAAUAAAUAAUUAAAAGAAAAUUAUACUAAUAAUUUUUAAAUAAACCAAUUAGUCCUCCGACCGGUCGGACCACUAAUUCACAAUCGACUAGCCGGUCCGACCCAAUUUUAAUAACAAUGUUUAAUAACAAUGAAUCGUAUAAUUGUUUAAUAGUUAGUACUCAAUUCUUCAUACACUAAAUGCAUGCAACUCAAAUAGCAUAACAUACCUUAAUAAAACUUCACCAUUCGAGUUCAAUUUCUUUUUUCAUUACCAUCCCGGUGAAAGGAAAGAAAAACUUUGCCUUUUACUUCAUUUUUUUAGUAAAAAAAAAAAAAUCGUACAUCAACUUCCGAACAAAAAUACACAGAAAAUACACAAUCUAACUCGAAUCUAUAAUCUUAUUGUGAAAUGUGAAAGUACCAACCUUCCGGGGAAGGAUGAUCCGUAGUUCUUUACACAAAUUUAAGAUGUUGAAAUUUCUCCGUUCUACAGCAAUCAAUUAUUGAAUCCUGAAUACUCAACAUUAAAUUUUUAUCAUAUCAAAAGUGUUAAACAGAAUUCUAAGGACGCUGAGAGAUUGAUCACUCAACAUUAAUCAAAGUCAGCCAGUUCAAACUCAUAAAACAUUAAAACAGUGUCAGCCAAUUCAGCUCAUAAUACAUUGAAUCUUUAAUACUCGCAUUAAAUCAUAGUCAGCCAGUUCAACUCAUAGGACAUGACGAUGUCGGACAUAACCGGGUAUCAAUUCAGCAACGAGUCAUAGAUACACAAACAACAAACCACUAACAGUAUUCUCUGGAUUAUUGUAGUUAACCUUUGCCAUUGUCUACAACUUUUCAUUUCAUAAUCAAACAAAGUUAUAUCACUUCCUAAACUCUAUUCAACAUCAAUCCAUUAAAAUCCACAAAGGCCCUCAAUAACACAAUAUUGGAAAACCCAGAAAAUCAUUAAUGACAAGUAAAAACCAUCAUGGAAGUAAUGUAGUCUCGACAAAUAGCUAACAACCUGAUUCAUGAUGAUGUCGGACUGCUGGAGAUUACACAGGACUAAGAAGCUGGUAGAUUUGGGGCUUCGGCUCAGAGUUCAUGCCAAUGAUGAUGAUGAGAGGAAUGAACCCGUAGUGAGUGAUGACUUUGGCUUUUUUCAUGGUCCAUGUGCUCCACUCCUUUACACACUGCAUAGUUGAUCUCUCCUCUGCUCCCUUUCCUCCUUUUGUUCCUUUCCCUUUGCUCUUCCCUGAAAGUUUAGAUGCCAUCUUCUGAAUUUGCUCUUCUUUUCUCUUCCUCCAAUCU
rnacentral:lncRNA from 1 species